rnacentral:rRNA from 1 species
AGAGUUUGAUCCUGGCUCAGGACGAACGCUGGCGGCGUGCUUAACACAUGCAAGUCGAGCGGAAAGGCCCUUCGGGGUACUCGAGCGGCGAACGGGUGAGUAACACGUGAGGAACCUGCCCCUGGCUCUGGGAUAGCUCCGGGAAACCGGGAUUAAUACCGGAUAUGACUGCCUGACGCAUGUUUGGUGGUGGAAAGUUUUUCGGCUGGGGAUGGCCUCGCGGCCUAUCAGCUUGUUGGUGGGGUGAUGGCCUACCAAGGCGACGACGGGUAGCCGGCCUGAGAGGGCGACCGGCCACACUGGGACUGAGACACGGCCCAGACUCCUACGGGAGGCAGCAGUGGGGAAUAUUGCGCAAUGGGCGGAAGCCUGACGCAGCGACGCCGCGUGGGGGAUGACGGCCUUCGGGUUGUAAACCUCUUUCAGCAGGGACGAAGCUAACGUGACGGUACCUGCAGAAGAAGCGCCGGCUAACUACGUGCCAGCAGCCGCGGUAACACGUAGGGCGCAAGCGUUGUCCGGAAUUAUUGGGCGUAAAGAGCUCGUAGGCGGCCUGUUGCGUCUGCUGUGAAAUCCCGGGGCUUAACCCCGGGCUUGCAGUGGAUACGGGCAGGCUAGAGGCAGGCAGGGGAGAAUGGAAUUCCCGGUGUAGCGGUGAAAUGCGCAGAUAUCGGGAGGAACACCGGUGGCGAAGGCGGUUCUCUGGGCCUGUACUGACGCUGAGGAGCGAAAGCGUGGGGAGCGAACAGGAUUAGAUACCCUAGUAGUCC